UGGCUGAGCGGUAAAGCGCUUGGCUUCCGAACCGGGGUCCCAGGUUCAAAUCCUGG
rfam:Biomphalaria glabrata isolate BB02 unplaced genomic scaffold LGTN_random_Scaffold1402, whole genome shotgun sequence.